rnacentral:lncRNA from 1 species
CCGACACUGAACAAAAGCUCCUACCACUAAUUGAAUGAUUUGUAAUUCACAUGGCUACAAAUCUGCAUAUUACUCGUUUUGAAUGAUUUUUAAACAAUAUGAUGCACCCACCGACUGCCGAACAAAAAUCAUCCAAUUUUAUGAUGACUUUUAGUAUACAUCUGUAUGACAAUGUGUUGAUAGUUGAACUUUAACAACACAAAUGAGUAACAUGCGGCUUAUGAGGGAUAUUCAUUUCUUCCAUGCCCCAAAUCAAAAAUCAUUCAAUUAUAGUCUAAAACUUCAUUCGGAUAGCAAAUGAUUCUUGACUUGAAAUCAUCCUUGUCAAUCUAAACAAAAACAUGGCGGCAGCAGCGGAACAUAGCAUUUCUUCUCGGAUUUCGCAGGUGACCAAGAACCGGUAAUCCUGGUUCGAUCCAGGGACAUUGGAGUGGAUAAUGUGGACACUUCCAGGAUGCUUCAAACAGCUAUAUUAAAGGCGGCUCAUUAGUGCGUGAAUUGUUAAUUGAUUUUUAUGUUGCCUAUUAUCAUCAAAAUAAAUGAUGACUUGUGGAAACCACCAA